AUCUUUAGCCAUGCCACCCUGAACAAGCCCGAUCCCAUCUGAUCUCAGAAGCUAAGCAGGAUUGAGCCUGGUUAGUACUUGGAUGGGAGACCACAUAGGAGGACCAGGUGCUGUAGGCA
rnacentral:rRNA from 1 species